rnacentral:rRNA from 1 species
ACGCACGCUGGCGGCAUGCCUAACACAUGCAAGUCGAACGAGACCUUCGGGUCUAGUGGCGCACGGGUGCGUAACGCGUGGGAACCUGCCCUUAGGUUCGGAAUAACUCCCCGAAAGGGGUGCUAAUACCGGAUAAUGUCUUCGGACCAAAGAUUUAUCGCCUUUGGAUGGGCCCGCGUUGGAUUAGCUAGUUGGUAGGGUAAAAGCCUACCAAGGCGACGAUCCAUAGCUGGUCUGAGAGGAUGAUCUGCCACACUGGGACUGAGACACGGCCCAGACUCCUACGGGAGGCAGCAGUGGGGAAUAUUGGACAAUGGGCGAAAGCCUGAUCCAGCAAUGCCGCGUGAGUGAUGAAGGCCUUAGGGUUGUAAAGCUCUUUUACCCGGGAUGAUAAUGACAGUACCGGGAGAAUAAGCUCCGGCUAACUCCGUG